UUAGAGUCAAUUCUUGAUCCUCCAUUUGAGAUGGAAAAGUCAUGAAAGCACCAAAGGUUAUCUUUUUCAAGAGGAUACCAACUAUUGAAAACAAUAAGCAUCUUGUGCCCAAAAAUUUGUGCUUUCAUAACAAUAUGCAAUAAUUGUGCCCAAAAUUUUGUGCUAUCAUAACAAUAUGCAAUAAGAGACAAGUCCCCUAUACAACAUUAUCAAAAAGUAAUAAUAAUUUCAUAUUACACCCGUAUACCAAAAAGCGAAAAGAAAUUGGCAUCAACCAGUUACAGUUGUACAACUUGUAGAAAACGGUAGGAUACCAUAAUUAUAACCUAGACCUAUCAACCGACAAAUCUUGUUUUGACUACCACACAAAUGGGUCAACCCUUUUAUUUGGGAAUGAAUAGUAUUAGCACUAGAUAACAACAAUCAAGAAUGAAAGGUUUCUCAUCAAUCAAUACCCAUGAUCUAUAAUUGUAUGAAAGGGAAAAGCAUUAGGGUAAGAUGGGUCAAAUCAAGGUGGAAUUGUUGAAUUUGCAUUUUGGGUUUGAACGGUUUUGAAGUUGAAGACACCUGCAAGUCCUUUUCCUUUGGCAAGCUGCUCAAGUUCCUGAAUUUUUUGCUUUAGAGAUUCUAGUUCUUCUGCUAAAGCUUCGUCUCGUUGCCUCAUAACCUAUGGAAAUAAGGAUGUAUAUUAAAAGACCAUGACUAAAAUUGAGGUUCUUCUGAUAUGUGCAAUUCUUCUCUAACUAUAAGUAGAUUAAUGAGACUUGAACAGACAAUUAAUACGAUGAAGAAGAAGUUUAGUGUUUAGAUAGCAGGAAAAACUAUAAUAAAAGACUUACCGAGAAGACAAAGAGUUCACUUAUAAGGUCCCCAGCUGCCUGAACGGCUUUCUCCUCAUCCAAUGGCCGAAUUUCGACAUCUGUUGCAUGUCCAUAAAUUCGUCUUUGUAUUGUCGUUGUUAGCCUGUGGUU
rnacentral:lncRNA from 1 species